rnacentral:tRNA from 1 species
AGCCCCGUCGUCUAGUGGUCAAGGAUACGGCCCUCUGGAGGCUGUGGCAGCGGUUCGAAUCCGCUCGGGGCUA